CGGGCGUUAUCGUUGUCGUCUUUGCCCCAUUCCCAGUCCUUCCCGGGGUCCACCGCAAAGUGCAGGGGCAGCAGCUUGUGCUCCGAGUCCGUCAGGGGGAUCACGGCUGCAACAGAAGAGAGAGGCGCGCUGCCAGGCGGCCCCCGGGCGGGCCGGAGGGCGCGGCCCGCAGCAGCCCCCAGGGAGGCCCGGAGCGGGGGUUCCAAGCCCGGGUGGCUCCUUGAUUAAGGAAACCGAGUGGGGACGAACCCAGACCCUCUGUGCCAGCAGGAGCGUUAAGACCACAGGUGUCAAAACCGCUGCUGAUAGUUUAAAAUUCGUCCUAUUUCUUGUGGACUUUGAAGAGCAGCUGGACUCCUCAUGUGGACUCUGCUAACGAUCUGGGUGUGUGAGAAGACGGGUGCCGCGGGUGGGCAGCGGGCAAACCCCGAAAACCAAAUACCUAUUGCCGCUUCCCUUCUUUCUGAGGAAGGACCCAGGCCGGGCUCCUGGGCACCUCACAGCGCACACAUCAGGCAGGUGAGGGCUGCCCGCCAAUCUGCUCAUUUGUGAAUUCGUUCAGAUAAUUCUUUAGCGCUUCGAGGCGGCCGGGGAGUGCGGGGGGUUAGCUCCGGGGGCUCCCGGGUAACCACCACCACCACCACCACCACCACAGUCUCCUAACGCCAGGGCGUGAUAAGCGGCCUGAAAAGUAAAGAGCGGGCUGCGGGGAGCCAGGGCCCGCCUCCCAAGGCGCGCCGGGAGGGCUUCCGAGGAGGCACCCGUGGGCGGAGACCGCGAGGCGAGGCUGGCCCCCACCCAGGGAUUCAUUCAUCACACUCCCUCCCACCGGGGGGGAGGGAGUCUUGGCCCAUUUCAGAAAGGCCUGGGCGGAGUAGGGCGUCCACAGGGUUUUUCUGCAUCUGCUGGAAGCUUCUGAGCUCUUGUGGGACCCAGUGUUCAGCGAGAGCAAGGGAAGAGCUUGCUGCUCCUCUGGGUUUGCCCUACCUCCGCCUCCUCACUGCUCCACCUCUCCUCCCCCCACGCCCCACCCUCCGGUGGCCGUGAGCCUGGUGUCAUUUACCAUGAUUCAUGGUAAGGCUGUCACGGCAAGAACAAAAAGGCCAAUAAGUAAAUAAAAAUCUACGACUGAAUACCACGAAUAGUUGACUUAAUAAAAAACUGCAAACACUGACUCACUGCUGCCCUCCAGUGUUGCUAAAGAGAAAAUGUGAGCACAAAUAAUUCUCCACUCCCAUAUAAAGGAAACACUGCGUUGCUGGAGGGUUUUCUGUUUUAAGUCUCUGGGGACUGGCAGUACUGUGCUCCAGUUUGCUCCAGUUUGGUUGGUCAAGGGCGGCUUGGUCGGCCCCAGCUCAGGCCCUGGGUUCUGCCCUGACAUGGCCAUGACAGGCUGCCCCUCCCAGGGCAGAGCUGCAGGGCAGUCACACUGAGAGGCCUGCAGGGCUGGUUCAGGACCUGUCUCCCUUGAGCGGUGCCCAGGAGCCUGUCCCACAGUUCCACGACUCAACACAAAGAUAAACCAACUAAAGUAGUACAGAUCCACAUGCCCCUCAGCCUCAACACCCUACCACUGGGCUCCUGGAAAUUUUUAUCCUCAAUGGCCAGACCAGAACUGAUUCCCUGGGCUGCCCCCUGUUGAGCAUAAGGCUGAACUCACCUGAAGAUGCUAGAGCCUGAUGACCUUUAUAGCUGCACAGGCCAGGAUGGCCUUGAAAACAAGCCCUCCCUGCAAGCAUUAGCUGGUUUGGAUGCCUCUGCCUCCCACUUUACAUAUUGACUUUUCCCAACUGGAAACCUGGCCUCACCCUGCCAAAUAUGUAGUGAUGUGGUGACUUGCCCUCUGGUGGCAAUAUCAGGAACAGCAAAUGCUUUUCAAAAUAAGCCAGCAAAUUGUUUUUUUAGGAUCUCCUAUCUUUUAACCUAGAAACACAGACACAUUCCCAAAACCAGCCUGGAUGUAUUUUCAGUACUUAUUUUCCAAAAAUUAAUGGACACUUCUGGUUUCUGUUUCGGGGAGAGCAUGGUGCUAUCAUUACAACAACAAGCUAGACAAACUGCAGAUUCACAACUUUCCUUUGACCCAUUAGAGAACAGAGGUCACAGGGCAAACAGCUAAGUCCAAAUCUAAGGACAGAUGGGCACGUACAAGGAGAAAUGGACAUGAUUUUCAUUGAGGCAAACUUAGCUGGACUGCUAUAAAAAGAAUUCAGCUAAAAUUGUUAAUAAAUUGGUAAAGGAAGAACGUAGUUUAGUGAAAGAAUAUUUAGAACCCUGGGGGCUACAGAUAUAAGGGAAAUUCAAAUGUACUUAUAGACCUCUUCCCAUGGGAUCCAACCUGGUGCUCACAAAAAGAUUGGCAAGAAUUCUGAGAAAGUAUCCUUCAUAGAUCUUUCUCACCAUCUAUCCUAAAGAACAAAAGCUUAAGUUGCAAGAGCAGGGCAACAAACACUGUUGACCUUAGGGCAUUGGGAUCUUUCCCCAGUAAAGCUUGGGGUGGGAGGAGGAAAUAAAAACAAAAUCCCCCUUUUUUUUUUCCCUGGGGAAGGGGCAGGAACUUGUGCUGAGCCCAUAAUACAGCUGGAGGAGGUCACUUCUUUUCCAAGAUCUGGAGACACAAUACCUGCCUAAAACAGAAGCUUAAUUAGAAUAACAAAAACAUCACCCUUCAGGCUCCCAUUGCCACACCCAGGCUAACAAGCUGCAAGUAAUAGCAGUUUAGUACUAGAAGAGGGACAGGAGUUUGAAGAGAGGGUGCAGCAGACAGUGAGAAAAACUUUCUGGCAAAACACAAGAUAUCACCAGUGAAAUCUGAAGGCCGAGUGCACUAUGGGUAACCAAAGCAGCAAUGAAACCAAAACCUGCUUCAAGUCUUGACUAGACUGGUCCAAACCCCAUGCUAAAGACCUAGGAAAAGGUAAGGCAUGCUUAGUUCUGGCUUUCAACAGAAAACUGCUAGCAUAAGAAAAGAUAAAAGAAAAAAAAACCCAAACAAACCAACAUGUUGGUAAGAGAUAAAGCAUUUGAAGAACAAGACUCAGAUAUGACAUGGAUGUUGAAACUCUCAGACAUGGAAUUUAGAAUAAUUGAUUAAGAAGUUGAAUACUCUAAUAGAAAAGGUAGAUACCAUGCAGGACUUGAUGAUCAAUUUCUCUCCAGUAGAGAGAGGAAAUUUAUAAGAAAGAAUCAAGUGGAAAUGCUAGAAAUGAAAAAAAACACAGUAAGAGAGAUGAAGAAUGACUUUGAGCGGCUGAUCAGUACACUUUACACAGCUGAGAAGAGAAUCUGUGAACAUCACGAUGAGUCAACAGAAAUUAUCUAAAUUGAAACACACAGAGAAAAAGAGUUGGUGGAGGUCUACAGAACAGAACACACAAGAGCUGUGGGGUAAUACUAGACAGCCUAAGAUCUGUGUAAGUGGAAUCCCUGAAGGAAAAAAAGAGCACAAGACAAAGGAUAUUUAAAGAAAUAAUGGCAGACAAGCCUUACACUGUGAAUGACAAAUUCCAGCAUAGAUCUAAGAAGUUAGGAAAAAAAACCAAGCAGGAAAACAAUAUGCCACUACCACCACCACCAAAAAUAUCCCCAUACUUAGCAUAUUUAAACAUAUGAAAAACCAAAGACAAAAUCUUAAAGGCAACAAGAGGGAAAAGACACCUUGCAUACAGAGAAACAAAGAUAAGAAAUUUAGCAGACUUUUCAUGACAAAAGAGGUAAGCCAGAAGACAAUGGAGUGACAUCUUUAAAGUGCUGAAAUAAAAAAAACUGCUAAUUCUAUAUCCAGAAAGAAAUCUCUGAAAGAUGGAGACAUUCUUUCUCAAACAAAAAUGAAAAAAAUUAAUUGCCUACAGAACUGUACUAGGAAAAAAUAUGUAUAUGUGUAUGUAUGUAUACUGCACUAGACAAUAUUAAAGGAAAUUGGAAAUGUUUACAGGGAAGUAAUAUGCUGCCAGUAGAAACUUGGAUUUAUAUAACAAAAUGAAAAGCAAUAGAAAUGUAAUAAAUGAAUAUGGAAAUAAAA